rnacentral:rRNA from 1 species
AUAGAUACCCGGGUAGUCCACGCCCUAAACGAUGCGAACUGGAUGUUGGGUACAUUACGGUACUCAGUGUCGAAGCUAACGCGUUAAGUUCGCCGCCUGGGGAGUACGGUCGCAAGACUGAAACUCAAAGGAAUUGACGGGGGCCCGCACAAGCGGUGGAGUAUGUGGUUUAAUUCGAUGCAACGCGAAGAACCUUACCUGGCCUUGACAUCUGUCGAAUCCUGCAGAGAUGCGGGAGUGCCGCAAGGAACGACAAGACAGGUGCUGCAUGGCUGUCGUCAGCUCGUGUCGUGAGAUGUUGGGUUAAGUCCCGCAACGAGCGCAACCCUUGUCCUUAGUUGCCAGCACGUAAUGGUGGGAACUCUAAGGAGACUGCCGGUGACAAACCGGAGGAAGGUGGGGAUGACGUCAAGUCCUCAUGGCCCUUACGGCCAGGGCUACACACGUACUACAAUGGUCGGUACAGAGGGUUGCGAAGCCGCGAGGUGGAGCCAAUCCCAGAAAGCCGAUCCCAGUCCGGAUUGGAGUCUGCAACUCG